rnacentral:lncRNA from 1 species
CUCACCUCUUCUAGCUUCUGGUGGCUGCUGGCAUUCCUUGGCUGGUAGCUCUAUCGCCCUAGUCUCUACCCUUGUGUUCAUCCUGCCCUCUGUGUGUGUCUCAAAUGUUUCUCUGCCUCUCUCUAAUAAGGACCCUUGUGAUGGCACUUACGGUCCGCCCAGAUGAUCCAGGAGAUCUCCUCAUCUCAAGCUUCUGAACUGAAUCACACCUGCAAAGACUCUUUUCCCAAAUAAGGCCGCAAAUGACUUCUGUUUGCACCUUUGAUUGAUUCAGGGAUUGGAGAAGACCAAGUACACAAGCACAUGCAGGUCCAGCUCUUCAGUUCCCAGAUCACACUGGCUACUAGAGGAGAGGAAUAAACCCCCAAAGUCUUAGUGGAGGACAGUGAGAAGUUGGCUGGGGGUCAAGCAUUUGCCCUGAGUUACCU